AUAUUUAUGUGUAAUGGCCGGAACA
rnacentral:siRNA from 1 species